CGGUGCUCAGUUGGGCUCUCAGUUGAGGCUUGUUCGGAAGGCGAAAGUACGUGUUGUGUUGUUGUUUGAGUAAUCAAGUGAGAAAUAUCCGCCGGAUUAUAAUUCUUUAUGAAAUGGGAUAUAUAACAGAUCUUGCCUUUCCAUAUUGAUUUUUCAAUAUUAAAGUACUGGAGCUAUGGAUAUUUUGCUGGGUGAUUUUUAUUGAAAAAGUGUGAAAAUUAUUCUGAUUUUACCGGUUUUCUCCUCUGUGUACAUUACUGAAACGCAGGUCGGAACAGUGUGGUUUUCUCAAGUGAGAUACGUAGAAGAAGCUUGAAUAGCAAUUUAAAGGAAUGUGAUCAGCACCAAAAUCAUCUUCACACAGAAUUGGUAUUAAUUUUUCCACAUGGAGCGUUCACCAUGAAUUUUGUACCAUUUGUGAUUGUACAGAUGUGAUAAGUGAUGACUUCUGAGUACCAACAUUGGUACAAUGAUGUCAAUACUGUGAGAAAAAUGAUGUUAGAAAAUGGAGGCACGCUGUGCCCGUCUUGUUGCACCCCUUUUGAUAAGGGAAAGCACAGAAAGCUUAUUGACACUUGUGGGCAUGAAAUUUGUUACAUGUGCAUAAAUUCAGAUCAUUGUCCACUUUGUGUUU